CCCAAAGAGGACAGGGUGUCCCCAGGGAGGGCGAGACCACCGUCUACUCUGACCUCAGGACAUGUCUUGUGCAGGGGGCAGCACAGCUCAGACUGACCCAGUGUUCACUGUAAUAGGAGAUUACUGGCUGUUCAAUGUGCUGCUUAUUCUGUGUGAUGGACAGACACUGUACUGGGUGGGCUCCUGAGAAGACUGCCGAACCCAGAAGAGGGAAUGUAAUUAGAGAGGAGGGACAGUGAGGAGCCCCGACGCCCACAUCCUCUCCCAUCGGCUCCAUCUCUCCGGUCGUGUCGUCUGGACAUCGGACUCCAGGAUCUCGGGGAAGGUUCCCUCCUCCCAGCCCGGCUCAGGCCUGAGGAGUCUGGGAGAUCUGGGAGAAGCCAACAGGAAGAAACUCCUCCUGGACCUCGACUCUGGGAGGAGCCCCAGUGCCCGGAACCCCGAAGACUCGGGCUGGCCAGGAGGGAGGAGCCCAGUGCCUGGACCCCCCAAAGACUCAGGCUGACCAGGAGGAGCCCUGGGGUAUCAGAAUAAGGAGGAGGAGGACCCCAGUGGUGCCACAACAAUGAAGAGGAGCCCAGGGGUGUCGGAACCCCCCAAACAAGGAGAGGAAGGGAUAAGAGAGCCUGUGGACAACACGCCUGUGUCUUUCCAGGAUGGGUCACCAGAACAGCAGCUCUGGACCGGAGCAGUCGGGACUCGGUGGAGCACAGGCUGCCUUCAGGCAUGUUUAUUCCCAACAGGAGCCAGGUCAGACCCUGUACCACGCAGGAGAGGGCACCCCCAGACCUGCAGUUAGAAGUCCAGAGGGUGUUCUCGACCGGUCAGCACAGGAGGGGACAGGGUACCCCAUCAGCACUGAAGGGCACGAGGCGCCAGGCAGACUCCGAGGGGACAGAGUAGGAGUCGUCUCGGGGAGACAUCCAGGGUGUCCCGAUCUCCUGCCUACUGGAGCCUGUG